rnacentral:rRNA from 1 species
UACGAAGGGGGCUAGCGUUGCUCGGAAUCACUGGGCGUAAAGGGUGCGUAGGCGGGUCUUUUAAGUCAGGGGUGAAAUCCUGGAGCUCAACUCCAGAACUGCCUUUGAUACUGAAGAUCUUGAGUUCGGGAGAGGAGAGUGGAAUUCCGUGGUGUAGCGGUGAAAUGCGCAGAUAUCAGGAAGAACACCCGUGGCUAAGGCGGCUCUCUAGUACGGUACUGACGCUGAGACGCGAAAGCGUGGGGAGCGAACAGG